GUUUGGACAAGACGAGGAGGCGCACUCAGAGUCAGAGACCCCGGGGCAGAGACAGGGGCAAGAAGAAGGGGCCACCGAGACCCCAAGAGAGUCAGGGAGACAGACGCACCAAACGACCGACACAACCAGGGACAGCAGGGAGGAAAAGUUGCCUAUCUGUUGGGUCAGAUUUCUGAAGACUGAUGAGGCCCAUUUUCUGGUAAGCGUGAAAUGACAUGAUCUCAGCUCACUGAAACUUCUGCCUCCCAGGUUCAAGCAAUUCUCCUGCCUCAGCCUCGCGAGUAGCUGGGAUUACAGAUAUCCUUCGAGUUGGAUUUCGACUGGGUUCUGCCAGUGGGAUGUAUCCAUGCGAGAUUCUGGAACUAACAUCAGAGAGAGUCCAAGCUUCUAACUUUUAUCAGCGGCAGUGACAAUAGUCAAGCAGCAUUGAUGACAAACGGCAAGAGUUUAGAAAGUACCAGUGACGUGCCUGAUAGAAUCUCACCACAAGAUGGAAGCCAACUCGUCAGAAGCCUGGAAAGCCCACCCAGCGUGGGACCUCUGUGGGUCCAGGAUCUUGGAAUGGUAUCCCAUGGUUCAAUCUUCUGGAUUCAACCACAUAAAUUUACCCCACCCAUGUCGUGGACCCAAGCUUCCUACCAUGUAUACUUAGCUUAAAUGCAAGAUAGUACUAUUUUGUUCAUCUUGAUUGGAGUGAGAAAUGAAUAGGUCCAUGCACAUAUAUUUCUUUUACCACAACAAGAUGAUGAAGAAAUAAAUCCAUAAUAUCGAUACUUUUGUAUAAGUUGUGUUUACAGUUGCGGUAAGAAAUUUUAUAAUUGUUGAUUUGCUUUAUAUAAUUUCUGCUUGCUUUUUAUGAUAUUUAAAACAAAAUCUAAGCAACAAAUUUUAUGUCUGAUUAGAUUUACAGAAGCUGCUUAAGUGCUUAGGGAUAAUUUGUUCAUCAUAUUUGUAAGUCUCCCUUGUUAGGUGUUUGAAGUGUUUGAAUUGGCUAAAUUAAAUUUGUAAUUGUAGUUUGAAAUAUCUAAAGGAAUUUUCUUAAUUAAGUGUUUAAAUGAUGUUAAAAGUUUGUGGGAAUUUAAUCUAUCAAAUUUAUGAGUUAAUUGAAUAUGAAUCAAUGAACAAGUAAAUGUGAUCUUGCUUUUAUAUAAAAACUACUAAGUUCAUAAAUAAAAUACAAAGAUCCAUAAGUUGAGAGGAAAAGCAAAAGAGCCAGAUUCUAAGAUCUAUAACUUAAAAAAAUUAAAUAUUGAUUGAAAUGUAAGUCAUUGCAAUUAUCCCCACUAGCUGAAAUCUCACAUCUGAGUGCUUACACACAAAACAAAAUGUUACCCUGAACAUACUAAACAAAUAAAAAACCACGUGGUAAUUACUAUACACAUGCUCACUGCUGGAAGCA
rnacentral:lncRNA from 1 species